rnacentral:lncRNA from 1 species
UUUCACUAUCCGCCGUCAUUAGGGUUUUACUCAACGCCUUCAAAAGUGGUCAAAUUCAUGGUAAACGGCAAAAAGUUACCGAUCCUACUAAAAAUGAAGCGACUCUAUGGGCAUGCCGGAUGAGGUGAAUGCCAAUGUCUUUGGUGGAUUUGUAGGGGGCAGAACUCACAAGGGCAAGAGAAAAGCCAUAUGGUGUAGAAAACUGUUGGUUCAUUGAAACUUAGUAAGGAAAAUAUGUAAAACUGGUUUUUUAUGUAUUAGUUUUGUCGAAGCAACUUAAAUAUUGAAACUUGCUAUUAAGUAAGUUCUUGUGUCUUGUAAUUCACCUCAUUGCAAGUGUACAUAUGAUGUUUUUAGUUUUGAGGAUUUGGGUUCCAUGGUAUA